GACGAACGCUGGCGGCGUGCUUAACACAUGCAAGUCGAACGGUGAAGCGCUUUCCUUUUUGGUUGGUGUGGAUGAGUGGCGAACGGGUGAGUAACACGUGAGUAUCCUGCCCCCUUCUUCUGGAUAACCGCAUGAAAGUGUGGCUAAUACGGGAUAUUCUGCGCCUGCUGCAUGGUGGGUGUGGGAAAGAUUGUGCCUUUGGGUGUUUUCGGUGGGGGAUGGGCUCGCGGCCUAUCAGCUUGUUGGUGGGGUGAUGGCCUACCAAGGCGGUGACGGGUAGCCGGCCUGAGAGGGUGGACGGUCACACUGGGACUGAGACACGGCCCAGACUCCUACGGGAGGCAGCAGUGGGGAAUAUUGCACAAUGGGCGCAAGCCUGAUGCAGCGACGCCGCGUGAGGGAUGGAGGCCUUCGGGUUGUGAACCUCUUUCGCCAGUGAAGCAGGCCUGCUCCUUGUGGGUGGGUUGACGGUAGCUGGAUAAGAAGCGCCGGCUAACUACGUG
rnacentral:rRNA from 1 species